rnacentral:rRNA from 1 species
UACGGAGGGUGCAAGCGUUAUCCGGGAUUCACUGGGUUUAAAGGGUGCGUAGGUGGGCAGGUAAGUCAGUGGUGAAAUCUCCGGGCUUAACUCGGAAACUGCCAUUGAUACUAUCUUUCUUGAAUACCGGUGGAGGUCAGCGGAAUAUGUCAUGUAGCGGUGAAAUGCUUAGAUAUGACAUAGAACACCAAUUGGCGAAGGCAGCUGGCUACACGAAUAUUGACACUGGAUGCACGAAAGCGUGGGGAUCAAACAGG